rnacentral:lncRNA from 1 species
GUACAUGUUGCUUCAGAUCUACCACUGCCCCAACAUGAAAUUCAGAUUGAAACCAGCAAGUAAUUUUGGAGGAUUCUUAGUAGGAAAUAUGACUUGGAAUUAAUAAAUAUUAAAUAAAAUAAAUUUUAAUUACUUUUUACUAAUUUUUGUUUGUUAUAAAACAUUUAUAUAACCAAAAAAGAUAAAUAGAAGAAAUGAUGAUUAGAGAGAUUGGGUUUUGGUGAGAAAAACCGUGGGCAAGGGAAACUGAAAUAAGACAAGCCCUGAUUUUUCAGCUCCAUACGAGACCAGAGGGCGCCCACGUUAAUUGUGAAGAUGGUUGUACUUAUUUAAAUCAAUGAUUCUCCCCAGAGUGAGAGAGUAUGCGAUGAUGUUGUUGUUACUUGUUUUGAUGUGGAUUGCAAUAUCUCACUUUGUUAGUAAGUGCAUGGAGGAAAUACAAGAGAACCACAUCUGCAAUAAUCAUGACCGUACGAUGCGUCGUCUUCGUGCCUCCCAUGGCCCACCUCUUCAUCUCCGCCCUCACAACCUCUAAUAAUUGCAUCUCUGAUCUUCAUCAAUGGUGUAUUGCUCACUCGUUAUCAUGUACAACCUACCAUUUUGUACUUCAUCACUUCUAUGUUUCUGUAACACGCAUUUCACAAGUUAUAUAUACUUUCUUUUUAGAGAGUUGAGCGUUGGUUUAUAUCCACUAUAGACAUAAGAAAAUGUUUAUCCACUUUUAGAUUACUAGUGCCACCGUAGAUAUAUUCAUAUGGAGCAAAUUGACUCAAGCUCAGGCAAUUUGCAAACAGAUUGGCCUAGUUUGAACUGAAUUAGAA